rnacentral:pre_miRNA from 1 species
AGGGGGAGCGCAGGAUCCUGGGCUGUGUCCCCUGAUGCCCUGGGAUCAGGGCCUGUGCCGCUGGAAUUGCGCUCCCCAGGGCAGGCAGCCCCCU